UACAGAGGGUGCAAGCGUUGUUCGGAAUUAUUGGGCGUACAGGGAGCGUAGGCGGUUGGAUAAGCCCUCCGUGAAAUCUCCAGGCUUAACCUGGAAAGUGCAGAGGGGACUGUUCAGCUAGAGGAUGGGAGAGGAGCGCGGAAUUCCCGGUGUAGCGGUGAAAUGCGUAGAGAUCGGGAGGAAGGCCGGUGGCGAAGGCGGCUCACUGGACCGGUAUUGACGCUGAGGUGCGAAAGCGUGGGGAGCAAACAGG
rnacentral:rRNA from 1 species